AAUAUAUUAUAAAUUAGUGCCUAUAAAUAGUAACACAUGACAUACAAAUAUAUGGGAGUGUGGAUUAAUCAGUACAGAGAUUAUUUACUCUUAGAUUGUUCUUGAAUAAAUAUUUCAUUGAUUAGAUUUUGUUUUCUUGAACUCGUGUACUUUAAGCAGAUUACUUUAAAUUGUAAUUACUUAAAUUAUUAUUUUGAAUAACUAAGAUUUUUAUUAAGAAUUACUUAAAAUUAUUACUAAGAAUUACUAAAAAUUAUUACUAAGAAUUACUUAAAAUUAUUACUAUGAAUUACUUAAAAUUAUUACUAA
rnacentral:lncRNA from 1 species